GUUCAGCUGAUGAGUCCCAAAUAGAACGAAAUGUGGGUCCUGUAU
rnacentral:hammerhead_ribozyme from 1 species